GUAAGAGACCACCGGCGUCUGCAGUAAUGCAGCGGCCAGGCAACCCCCGGUUGGAGCAAGGCCAAGCAGAGACCAAUUUCACCUUCGGGUGGAGGGAAGCGGCUCGUUUUCUUAUGAGUCUCGGGUAGGCUGCAUGAGUUUGGCGGUAACGUCAAACCUAGAGAGAUGACCGUCAUGUUUGGAGUCGUGCUUCGGCAUACCCUCCGAGCUACAGAAAGCGGCUUAUAGACUAGCCUGGAUU
rnacentral:RNase_P_RNA from 1 species